rnacentral:lncRNA from 1 species
AAAAACCCCACUUAUAAUAAUAAUAAAGAUAAUUUUUCUGCCAUAAUAACAGAUCUAAAAGCAUAGAGGCAACUACCAUAUUGACUACUUUCUAAUUCCAUUUGAUUCAUGUUUUCACUGGGAAUUUGGAGAAAAUCAACCCAGAAGCCUACUGGUUAUUGACUUGGAGUUGGGUAGGAACCUAGCCUCGGGUUUAUCCUGCUUGCAGUGGUCAUGGUGAAUGGAGACCAUCGGAUUGGGAUCUUUGCCAAGAGGGCAAUUCAAGCUGGCGAAGAGCUCUUCUUUGAUUACAGGUACAGCCAAGCUGAUGCUCUCAAGUACGUGGGGAUCGAGAGGGAGACCGACGUCCUUUAGCCCUCCCAGGCCCCACGGCAGCACUUAUGGUAGCGGCACUGUCUUGGCUUUCGUGCUCACACCACUGCUGCUCGAGUCUCCUGCACUGUGUCUCCCACACUGAGAAACCCCCCAACCCACUCCCUCUGUAGUGAGGCCUCUGCCAUGUCCAGAGGGCACAAAACUGUCUCAAUGAGAGGGGAGACAGAGGCAGCUAGGGCUUGGUCUCCCAGGACAGAGAGUUACAGAAAUGGGAGACUG